CCCGGGCCGGCACGGGUGGAGUAACACGUAUCCAACCCGCCUUACACUCUUGGACAGCCUUCUGAAAGGAAGAUUAAUCCAGGAUGGGAUCAUGAGUUCACAUGUCCGCAUGAUUAAAGGUAUUUUCCGGUAGACGAUGGGGAUGCGUUCCAUUAGAUAGUAGGCGGGGUAACGGCCCACCUAGUCAACGAUGGAUAGGGGUUCUGAGAGGAAGGUCCCCCACAUUGGAACUGAGACACGGUCCAA
rnacentral:rRNA from 1 species